GAAUAAGGAAGACCGAAGAACCGAUGCAUGUCAACGAUGGUGCUGAAAGUACCGUGGCCUGCCAAAGGACCAAACAUCUGUCUCGGAAGAGUCCCACCCAGAAUGCGCCUCAGAGGCAAGGAUGUGAGCCAAGCUGGAUCCCUGCCAUCUGUGAUGCCCACCUGGAAGACUAACGUGGAGCAGCUGUGUCUAUGCCUCUUUCCCUCUGCCCCCAAUUCAGGACGGGACACCCCUUGCCAGGGACGCCCUCUCUGUUCCAGACGCAGGGUCUGCAAAGGGUGAGGCUGCAGAAUAUAGUUGGGUGGACCGAGUGACUAUCCACAGUGGGCAGGGCUUGUGCCAUUGUUUGUUCCUGGUGGUACCAACGGUAAAUGCCCUGGAUUUCAAGAGGUUGGCGGUUUGAAUCCACUCAGCAGUGCCAUGGAAGCAAGCCCCGGAGAUCUGCUUCCUUAGAAGUUACUGCCGAGGAAGCCGGAUGGAGUUUCGAUCUGAAUGGCUGCCCUGCAGCCGGCUUGGUCUUGUGCCUCAUCUUUUGGGCGCCCAGUGUUUCUGACUUCCUGCUAGCUUUGGUCUGGUUGGGGAGGGGGGGGUGUCACUGGAGCUUUUGGGACCCAGGACAUGUUCAUCUUUUCCUGCGUAGUGCUGGGCUUAUAAAGGGGAGUAGUCUUCUAA